GUUAGCGGUCAGAGCGCCGGGGAAACGCCCGGACUCAUGCCGAACCCGGAAGCUAAGCCCGGUGGCGUCCCGUGUUGUACUGUGCUCCGAGAGGGCACGGGAAGCACGGGAGACUGCUAACC
rnacentral:rRNA from 1 species